rnacentral:lncRNA from 1 species
GUCGGCUCCGCUUGGGAAGCGGCCCGGCCCCGGGUGUUCUCCCACACGCUGAACCGUGCCCGCCGCCUCCGUCCCAGGGCCGCGCAGGUGUUUCCGCACGAGGGGCUUGGGGGACCUCAGAGCCUCACGGCAGGAAUCGGAGGCCCCCGCAGGCCCCCAGCCAAGCCACAGAUUCUGUUUACUCUCAGAAGAAAGUUCCCACCUUGCAGCCAGGCUGCAGCGUGUCCGAGGCCCCCCGGACGCCGCCCAGCCCCGCGCCCUGCCUGGGAGCUGGCCCGGAGCCGGACAGACCAGCCCGGUCCUCGCGCUGUCCCCUGACUCCACGCACCCCCGCUGCUCCUCGGUCGGGCCCGGGUCUCCGUGGCCCCUCCACGGAGGGGUCUGGAAAGUGGGCCGGUGACACCCCCACAGAGAGCUGGGGCAGGUGACAGUGGAAGCUGGCUCAGACCCUGCCCGGGGCUGGGACCCCUGCCUCAAAGGAGCCCUGCCCUCGCUGGACCGAGGGGGUGGGACGUCGUCUGGGGGCCUCACCUCCCCACUCUUAGGUCCCAGCCUCUCCUGGCACUGGGGUCUUCAGCGACCAGCCCUCCACAGGGGGUUCCUCGGGCCCCUGUCCCCAGCAUCCUGCCCCACCCCCAGGAAGGCCAGACCUCCCAGAACAGGAAAUGUCCCCCUAGGACUGUCCCCUCCCUCCCUGGCAGGGGAAGCCCUGGGUUUGAGGCUUCAUUCUGGCUCUCGCCGACUCUGUGACCAUGGAUGAGUCACCUCACCUUUCUGAGCCUUUAUGUUUCUCCUCCGGGAAAUAGGGAUACUCCCUCCUGGCCCACUCGUACCAUGGGGUUGAAGGGAUCGUACCAGGGAUCGAAGAAGGAGGCCUGGGCUGAGAGCACCGGAUGCUACGAAGACUUUAGGCUCUUUCAGCCUGACUGCCCUGCCGGGACCACAGGCCACCUUGGCAAGCUUCAGCCUGAAGCUGCAUUGAGCACACGGAUUGGAUCCCAGACUCUGAGACCCUUGGUUUACGUUCAGACCUGGAGGGCGUUUACUGAACACGCCCUGGGGCACGCCUUGCACCUUGCUCUGGGCGCUGGGUUUAGGCCUCCAGGAGCCACAGCCGCACAGGUAGGUAGCCUGUUGUGGCUCAGCCGGGGGCCCUUGACCACAGGAGGAGGAGGAGGCGGGGGCUCUGAGCCCCCCGGUAGGGCCCCUCCUCCGCUGCGGUUCGACGGCUUCCCGCGGGAGGGAC